ensembl:ncRNA C10G11.14 ncRNA
AUCCAAUACCAGUUCUUUCUGCUAUAAUCCCAUGAGAGCACUCUCAAUGUUGCAAGCCUCCAUAUAAGAGAUCAUUCUCAUUCGUGCUGGACAAGAAAGACGGCAACCACUAAAACAGAAGUGCGUUUGCAUCAGAAUUAAGAAACAAAGAAAGGAGGAGCAGAGCAGCAGCGCGGUUCAACCAAUGAGUUCCUUUUUUUUUGGGAAAGAAGAUGCAAAAAGGAC